rnacentral:rRNA from 1 species
UACGUAGGGUGCAAGCGUUAAUCGGAAUUACUGGGCGUAAAGCGUGCGCAGGCGGUGAUGUAAGACAGUUGUGAAAUCCCCGGGCUCAACCUGGGAACUGCAUCUGUGACUGCAUCGCUGGAGUGGCGGCAGAGGGGGAUGGAAUUCCGCGUGUAGCAGUGAAAUGCGUAGAUAUGCGGAGGAACACCGAUGGCGGAAGGCAAUCCCCUGGGCCUGCACUGACGCUCAUGCACGAAAGCGUGGGGAGCAAACAGG